AUUCCAGCUCCAAUAGCGUAUACUAAAGUUGUUGCAGUUAAAGAGCUCGUAGUUGAAUUUCUGGUCUUGGACAGCGGUCUGCCUCAGACGAGGUACGCACCAUCUAUCCGAGUCCAUCCUCGGGGAAAACAUGUCUGUGAUUCAGUUCAUGGGCAUGGGAUCCUCGUCAUUUACUGUGAGCAAAAUAGAGUGUUCAAAGCAGGCUUAUGCCGUUGAAUAUUUUAGCAUGGAAUAAUAAGAUAAGACCUUGGUCUAUUUUGUUGGUUUGUACUCCAAGGUAAUGAUUAAUAGGGACAGUUGGGGGUAUUCGUAUCCAAUUGUCAGAGGUGAAAUUCUUGGAUUUAUUGAAGACGAACUACUGCGAAAGCAUUUACCAAGGAUGUUUUCAUCG
rnacentral:rRNA from 1 species